rnacentral:tRNA from 1 species
UUGGCUUAGUGGUAGAGCGUCGCUCAUGUAAAGCGAAGGUCGGUGGUUCGAUUCCGUCA